AGGAGAUCGUAUUGCAUAUGAGAUAUUUCUUCUUUCAAUAAAAUUACGCAAAUUUCUUCAUUACAAUGAAGUACUUGAUAUUCGCUUUAAUGGUUUUUACGGUCGCUAUCAAUAGCAUAACAACUGCUCCUAAUUCUAUGGAUUCUUGCUUUGACUUGGCACAAUUCCUAUUUAUACAACAAUAUAAUAUUGCAUCAACGUAUAUAUUUAUAAUACAAUAUGUACAUUUACACGCAAGAUUUUGUUACAUAGCCAGAGAAAUGAUUAUCAACAUCGAAUGAACGUCGAUUCGACAUUGAAUUGAUGAUUUCGACGUUGAUUCGACAUCGAAUUGACGGUCAUUUUUCACUGGAUAACACUUUAUUAUAAUUGUAGUGUAGUGUGUAAUGUCCGAGCAAUGCUGACCUGGUUUACAGUGCUCGUCGUAUGCAGCUAAAUGUAUUCCUAUAUAUAUAUAUAAUUGAGUGAUUAUAGAUGGGCCAUUCCUUCCAAUAAAUUGAAACAAAGGAGGUUCAAUUUUAAUAUUGACGAUACUAAAAAAAAAAAAA